AGAAGAAGAAGAAGAAGAAGAAGAAGCAAAACCUGU
rnacentral:sRNA from 1 species